GUUAACAAGAGCAAACUCCAUCUCAAAAAAAUAAUAAAAAAAAAAGAAAGAAAGAAAGAAAGAAAAUACGGCAGUCAAGCAGUUAGUGGUGGUUCUAAGAAUACUCUCAAUUAGCAGGGCAAAGGAUCAGGAAAAUGUGGUGGAAGCAGGUGUCCCUGAAGCUCCCAUGCAUCCAUCUGUCUCCACAUACAGUGGCUAUAAAACCUGACUAAUGCUUUCUUUACUUCUGCCUUCCAUAUCUCCUGCAAGUAGGCUAUUAGUGAAUUAUACCGUGGAGCCAUAAAAGGAAAUAGAAAACAUAGGUCAAAACAUUACCCAUGUUAACACAAUCUAGGACAGCCAUUUCCAGCUAUAGGUUAUAUGGUUCCAUCUCAGGUCUAUCUUAUUACUGCAAAGUCUAUUAUCCAAAUCACAGCUAGAAGGAAUUACAAAUAGCAAAGAACAGAAGAUGAAAAUAAUAAUUCCAAUGAGAGUCUACUAUAUGAUAAAUUUUGCAUACUCAAAAAUUUAUUAUGAUUGUUUCUUAUCAUGAAAAAAUAGAAAAAAGGAUACUCUGCCCUCCUCUAAAAAAGCUUCAUUUGGUCAGGAAAAAAGAUGAAAUACAUAUAAUGAUAUCUAGUACCUGCCACAUAAGGCCAGUAGGAAAUCCUAAAGAUUACCAAAUUGUUAUUUUUUGAUGGCCCCUUACAGCACAACUAAAAAUAUAUAUAUAAAAAUCUACUAGCUUAUUACAAAUACACUUCAAUUCACUCAUGAAUCUAACAGACUUCAAUAUGGAAAGACAAAAUUUCAGCAACUCAUUUAAUGAAAAAAUACUAUCAAUACAACCGUUUAAGAAGAGCUUACAGAAUUAUCUCAUCUCAAUGUUCUUUUGUGAAAGCAAUAAAUAGAAAUCCAUAGUUCAGAGAUCCACUUUCAGAAUGAGUAACUGAUAAUACAUUUAUAAGUUUUAUACCAUUUCUGUCGUGUGAAUUUUCUAGAACAAUAUACAUGAAUUAAUUUGUAUCAGGCUUUCCCAUAUUGUCUACAUUUACAUAAUACCUCCCUAUUGGGAGUUUCAAUAUGAGUUUGAAGUUUCACACAUAAGGGAGUAUUCACAUGAGCAUUUGUUAAAAUUGAAAACAUUGUUAUUUCUCACUUUUAUAGGAUUUCUAUCCAGUCUGCAUUCUCACAUAUAAGUAUGUGGGUCAACUGAAGGCUUUCUCAUAAUGCCUAUAUUCAAGAAGUCACUUUCCAGUACAAGUUUGUUCAUGGUUUCCAAGUAAACUGAGACAAAGGUUUUCCACAUCCUUUACAUUUAUAGGCUUUUCCAGGUUCUUUACAUUUUUAGGUUAUAAAUUCUUUACGUUUAUAGGGCAUAUGAAAAUUCCUUACAUUUCAUAUGCCUUCUCGUGGUCCUCAAAUAGUCAUAUGACCAUUGAAGGCUUUUCCACACUGCCUACAUUCGCAGGGUUUUCUGUCCAGUAUGAAUGCUUCCCCAUAUUCACACCUAGAGAAUUGAAGAUAUUCCCAUGUCUUACAUUCAUUCAUAGGGUUUCUCUGAAAUAUGAAUAAUUUCAUGUCUUCAAAAGGAAAUGGGGGCUGGGGGCGGUGGCUCACAUCUGUAAUCCCAACACUUUGGGAAGACGAGGUGGGUGGAUCAUCUGAGGUCAGGAGUUCGAGACCAGCCUGGCCAAUGUGGCGAAACCCCAUCUCUAUUAAAAAUACAAAAAUCAGCUGGGCAUGGUGGUUCACACCUGUAGUCCCAGCUACUCAGGAGGCUGAAGCAGGAGAAUCGCCUGAACCCAGGAGGCAGAGGUUGCAGUAUGCUGAGAUCACACUACUGCACUCCAUCAGGGCACCAGAGUGAGACUUCAUCUCAA